AACGAACGCUGGCGGCAUGCCUAACACAUGCAAGUCGAACGAGACCUUCGGGUCUAGUGGCGCACGGGUGCGUAACGCGUGGGAAUCUACCCUUGGGUUCGGAAUAACAGUUAGAAAUGACUGCUAAUACCGGAUGAUGACGUAAGUCCAAAGAUUUAUCGCCCAAGGAUGAGCCCGCGUAAGAUUAGCUUGUUGGUGGGGUAAUGGCCUACCAAGGCGACGACCUUUAGCUGGUCUGAGAGGAUGAUCAGCCACACUGGGACUGAGACACGGCCCAGACUCCUACGGGAGGCAGAAGUGGGGAAUAUUGGACAAUGGGCGAAAGCCUGAUCCAGCAAUGCCGCGUGAGUGAUGAAGGCCUUAGGGUUGUAAAGCUCUUUUACCAGGGAUGAUAAUGACAGUACCUGGAGAAUAAGCUCCGGCUAACUCCGUGCCAGCCGCCGCGGUAA
rnacentral:rRNA from 1 species